CUCAAAUAUCCGAAAUCUGUGGUCGAAAUGAACAGGACACAAAGUUAUCUGCAUAGAUCAACAAUGACGGACAAGCAUAUUUUAGAUUAAUAUCCCUUCAUAAUCAGAAACUGUCUGAACAUUAAAGCUGCGGUACCCCUUUCUGUUAACAUAAUAUAUUUCGUCUUUUAAUGACACCCGAGUCGGCACGUGUGUAAAAUAAUUUUACCACCACACAUUUGAAAAAUUUAACAUAAAGAAGAC
rnacentral:lncRNA from 1 species